GGCGGACGGGUGAGUAACGCGUGGAUAACCUGCCGUAUACAGGGGGAUAACACUUAGAAAUAGGUGCUAAUACCGCAUAAGCGCACGGUUCCGCAUGGAACAGUGUGAAAAACUCCGGUGGUAUACGAUGGAUCCGCGUCUGAUUAGCCAGUUGGCGGGGUAACGGCCCACCAAAGCGACGAUCAGUAGCCGGCCUGAGAGGGUGAACGGCCACAUUGGGACUGAGACACGGCCCAAACUCCUACGGGAGGCAGCAGUGGGGAAUAUUGCACAAUGGGGGAAACCCUGAUGCAGCGACGCCGCGUGAGUGAAGAAGUAUCUCGGUACGUAAAGCUCUAUCAGCAGGGAAGAAAAUGACGGUACCUGACUAAGAAGCCCCGGCUAACUACGUGCCAGCAGCCGCGGUAAUACGUAGGGGGCAAGCGUUAUCCGGAUUUACUGGGUGUAAAGGGAGCGUAGACGGCAGCGCAAGUCUGGAGUGAAAUGCCGGGGCUCAACCCCGGAACUGCUUUGGAAACUGUGCAGCUCGAGUGCAGGAGAGGUAAGCGGAAUUCCUAGUGUAGCGGUGAAAUGCGUAGAUAUUAGGAGGAACACCAGUGGCGAAGGCGGCUUACUGGACUGUAACUGACGUUGAGGCUCGAAAGCGUGNGGAGCAAACAGGAUUAGAUACCCUGGUAGUCCACGCCGUAAACGAUGAUUACUAGGUGNCGGGGGGCCAAGGCCCUCCGGUGCCGCCGCAAACGCAUUAAGUAAUCCACCUGGGGAGUACGUUCGCA
rnacentral:rRNA from 1 species